GCUGGGAUGAAGUAAACAUGGCCAUGCAUUGAACCUCACAGAUCUCACAGACGACACCUGCACACACCAAGAUGCUUGACUACUCAAAACUCUGUGGCAGAAGGAGACAGCACGUGAGAUGGGCGCAGUCCCUGGAGAAGGGACAGAAUGAAUGCUCUGUGGUGUCUCUGAGACUGAAAGCUGGCUGGAGGUAGAUGGUGGGCUUCAUGCUUCUCCCAGACGCCAGCACACAAUUUAUCCCAUCGCUUCUGGAUGAAUCUGUCAGAAGUGAUUUGAAUGUGCAUGCUUUGACCAUCUACGAGGUCCUACAUCUAGGAGGUCCUCAUUCUGCAUAAGGUUUCUCCAACAGAGAAACAUGAAGCGAGCGGUAUGCGGCAAUGCUGUGUGAGACAAGAACCAGGCUUAUGUCAGAGCUGCUCUCUUGGUCGCCUCUCGCCUCCACUCCCGGUUCCCAUGGUGACUCAGGAAAGGCUCCUCAGACCUGACAGCAGAUCCACAGCAGUGUGGGGAAGCUCAGCAUGGAGGACAGCCAUAAAACAUAACAGCAUUUGCCCAAGGACAGUUCUGAGUCUGGGGGAAUGGGGGCUGUCUCUGCUUCCAGGAGCUGCAGAGUACCCCAAAUGUAAUGUAGUUGCAAAGAAGGAAAAAAACAGAAAAGGGUAGCAAGCCAUGUGUGAA